rnacentral:rRNA from 1 species
UACGGGGGGGGCAAGCGUUGUUCGGAAUUACUGGGCGUAAAGGGCUCGUAGGCGGCCAACUAAGUCAUACGUGAAAUCCCCAGGCUACAACCUGGGAACUGCGUCUGAUACUGGUUGGCUUGAAUCCGGGAAGAGGGAUGCAGAAUUCCAGGUGUAGCGGUGAAAUGCGUAGAUAUCUGGAGGAAUACCGGUGGCGAAGGCGGCAUCCUGGACCGACAGUUGACGCUGAGGAGCGAAAGCCAGGGGAGCAAACGGG